CGCUGGCGGCGUGCUUAAUACAUGCAAGUCGAGCGAGCUACUUCGGUAGCGAGCGGCGCACGGGUGAGUAACGCGUAGAUGAUCUACCCUCGAGACUGAGAUACCUCCGGGAAACUGGAGUUAAUACCAGAUAACGCACAUUUGUUGGUUCAGAUGUGUUAAAGCGGUGCAAGUCGCACUUGAGGAUGAGUCUGCGGCCUAUCAGCUAGUUGGUGGGGUAACGGCCUACCAAGGCGAAGACGGGUAGCUGAUCUGAGAGGAUGAUCAGCCACAUUGGGACUGAGACACGGCCCAAACUCCUACGGGAGGCAGCAGUAGGGAAUAUUGCGCAAUGGGGGGAACCCUGACGCAGCGACGCCGCGUGAGUGAAUGACGGCCAUUUUGGUUGUAAAGCUCUGUAAAGAGGGAAAAAUGUUGCAGUGAAGAGCUGCAAUUGAUGGUACCUCUAAAGUAAGGACCGGCUAAAUACGUGCCAGCAGCCGC
rnacentral:rRNA from 1 species